rnacentral:misc_RNA from 1 species
GAGGAUGGGGAUAGCAGAAAGAACGGAGAGCGAAGGAGCAUUUAUAGGAUCAAGCGGUGGUUUAGGGAAUUUCACUGAGCCUUUAGUAAUGGAAUGAGAAAUAGAUGGAGAUGAGAUGUCGAGAGAGGACACAUAAUGUUUAAGAGCUGCAUCCAUCCCCUGUGAGGUUUUAACGGUAGUGGUGGUGGCCGCUGUGGAGGNAGUUUUGGCUUUGGCUUUUAACGAAGAGCCGAAGAGAGAGCUCAAGUUCUUGAGCUUGCGC